rnacentral:rRNA from 1 species
AUGCAGCUAGAUGAUGCGUGUUGCAGGAUCAUAGAUAGUGCAUGCAUUGGUGGAAAUCUGCUUCUACUUUCUGUAUAGAGCUAGGAGCGUCUCCCUGUUGGACGCGUGAAGAGCGUCAAGUUUAAUCCUUGGGAUGAAGUCGACGAGUUAUGGCGCCCCACUUGGGCUUACAAGUGGGAUGUGGUAUCCGAGAUGACGAACAAUGUCAAUCUCAUGUACGAAAAGUACAUUGCCGAGUUGGACAUGAUUACUAUUGAGCAAGUAAUGAGGACAUUACUUCAAUCAUUUCUCAUGCUUGCCUGA